AUUGGAUUUGGCGGCAUAAUAACCCGGUUAGAGGAACCUGCCCAGUAAACGAUAGACCACGAAUACAUUACUUUUAUUAGUAAUACAGUUUGUAUAUCGCUGUUGUAUGCUAGUUCUAUUAGGAAAUUAGCAAUGAUGUUUAGAGCAUUUACUUCAAGUAAAGGUGCAGCUAAUAUAAAAGUUAGAGGUGGGUUACGUUUAAGGAAUAAAUGGAGAGAAGUAUGAAAUUUAUAUUUUGAAAUUGGAUUUAAUCGUAAAUUUUUAUAUAUUUGAUAUAGGCACUAUUAUGUGUACACACCGCCCGUC
rnacentral:rRNA from 1 species